rnacentral:rRNA from 1 species
AGAUUGAACGCUGGCGGCAUGCCUAACACAUGCAAGUCGAACGGGAGUAGCAAUACUCUAGUGGCGGACGGGUGAGGAAUACGUAGGAAUUUGCCCUUAAGUGGGGGAUAACCCGGGGAAACCCGGAUUAAUACCGCAUGACCUCGAAAGAGCAAAGUGGGGGAUCGCAAGACCUCACGCUUUUGGAGAAGCCUACGUCGGAUUAGCUAGUUGGUGAGGUAAUGGCUCACCAAGGCGACGAUCCGUAACUGGUCUGAGAGGAUGAUCAGUCACACCGGAACUGAGACACGGUCCGGACUCCGUACGGGAGGCAGCAGUGGGGAAUAGUUGGACAAUGGGCGCAAGCCUGAUCCAGCAAUGCCGCGUGUGUAGAAGAAGGCCGUUGGUGUAAGCAACAGUUAAGUAGGAAAGAAAAACUACGACUAC